rnacentral:rRNA from 1 species
CCACACUUAGAGAAAGACCUGCGGCGCAUUAGCUAGUUGGUGAGGUAGAGGCUCACCAAGGCGAUGAUGCGUAGCCGGACUGAGAGGUCGAACGGCCACAUUGGGACUGAGACACGGCCCAAACUCCUACGGGAGGCAGCAGUAGGGAAUUUUCGGCAAUGGGGGAAACCCUGACCGAGCAACGCCGCGUGAAUGAAGACGUAUUUCGGUAUGUAAAGUUCGUUUUAUUAAGGAAGAAUGUCGUUGGUAGGAAAUGACUAACGAGUGACGGUACUUAAUGAAUAAGACCCCGGCUAACUAUGUGCCAGCAGCCGCGGUAAUACAUACGGGGGCAAGCGUUAUCCGGAAUUAUUGGGCGUAAAGGGUGCGUAGGCGGUCUAUUAAGUCUGAGGUGUAAGUGCAGGGCUCAAACCCUGUGAUGCUUUAGAAACUGGUAGACUUGAGUGAGAUAGAGGCAAGUGGAAUUCCAUGUGUAGCGGUAAAAUGCGUUAAAUAUAUGGAGGAACACCAGUGGCGAAGGCGGCUUGCUGGGUCUAUACUGACGCUGAGGCACGAAAGCGUGGGGAGCAAACAGGAUUAGAUACCCUGGUAGUCCACGCUGUAAACGAUGAGUACUAAGUGUUGCGAUAACGCAGUGCUGAAGUUAACAUAUUAAGUACUCCGCCUGAGUAGUACGUACGCAAGUAUGAAACUCAAAGGAAUUGACGGGACCCCGCACAAGCGGUGGAUCAUGUUGUUUAAUUCCGAAGAUACC